GAUGAAUGCUGGCGGCGUGCUUAACACAUGCAAGUCGAACGGAAAGGCUCCUGCUUGCAGGGGUACUCGAGUGGCGAACGGGUGAGUAACACGUGGGUGAUCUGCCCUGCACUUCGGGAUAAGCCUGGGAAACUGGGUCUAAUACCGGAUAGGACGAUGGUUUGGAUGCCAUUGUGGAAAGUUUUUUCGGUGUGGGAUGAGCUCGCGGCCUAUCAGCUUGUUGGUGGGGUAAUGGCCUACCAAGGCGUCGACGGGUAGCCGGCCUGAGAGGGUGUACGGCCACAUUGGGACUGAGAUACGGCCCAGACUCCUACGGGAGGCAGCAGUGGGGAAUAUUGCACAAUGGGCGCAAGCCUGAUGCAGCGACGCCGCGUGGGGGAUGACGGCCUUCGGGUUGUAAACUCCUUUCGCUAGGGACGAAGCGCAAGUGACGGUACCUGGAGAAGAAGCACCGGCUAACUACGUG
rnacentral:rRNA from 1 species